rnacentral:rRNA from 1 species
CACGUAGGGGGCAAGCGUUGUCCGGAUUUAUUGGGCGUAAAGAGCUCGUAGGCGGUUCGCUAAGUCGGGUGUGAAACCUCCAGGCUCAACCUGGAGACGCCACCUGAUACUGGUGUGACUCGAGUCCGGUAGGGGAGCGUGGAAUUCCUGGUGUAGCGGUGAAAUGCGCAGAUAUCAGGAGGAACACCGGUGGCGAAGGCGGGACUCUGGGCCGAUACUGACGCUGAGGAGCGAAAGCGUGGGGAGCAAACAGG